CGCCCCACGCGCGCGGUCUCCGUCUCCGCCUCGGCUGGCUCCCAAUCCUCGUUCCCCCGGUCGCCGCCCAAGUCAAAAAGAGGGGCGGAAGCUUCUCCACCACAGUCCCCAACCCAUCAACGACUAGUCGCUGUGGAGCACCAACCCUAGCACCCAACCCGACUGUUCUCCCCCUCGCGAGCGGCGAGGAAGACGCCAUGGAUACUUCCGGCGGCGGCGGCGCGGGUGGGGCGGCGCAGAUCCAGGGGAUGGCGACGCACGGCGGGCGCUACGUGCUGUACAACGUGUACGGGAACCUCUUCGAGGUCGCCUCCAAGUACGCCCCUCCCAUACGCCCCAUCGGCCGCGGCGCCUACGGCAUUGUCUGCGCGGCCGUCAGUUCGGAUACUGGAGAGGAGGUUGCGAUCAAGAAAAUUGGAAAUGCAUUUGACAACCACAUCGACGCCAAGCGGACACUGAGAGAAAUAAAGCUUCUUCGCCACAUGGACCAUGAGAAUAUUAUUGCCAUAAAGGACAUAAUACGCCCCCCAAGAAGAGACGAUUUUAAGGAUGUCUACAUUGUUACUGAGUUGAUGGACACCGAUCUCCAUCAGAUCAUACGCUCAAAUCAGCCAUUGACCGAUGACCAUUGCCAGUACUUCUUGUAUCAGUUGCUACGAGGGCUAAAAUAUGUGCAUUCAGCAAAUGUCUUGCACCGUGAUCUGAAGCCAAGUAAUUUAUUCCUAAACGCAAAUUGUGAUCUCAAGAUUGCGGACUUUGGGCUUGCAAGGACCACAUCCGAGACUGAUCUCAUGACAGAGUAUGUGGUCACUCGUUGGUACCGAGCACCAGAGUUGCUGUUGAACUGUUCACAAUAUACUGCUGCUAUUGAUGUCUGGUCAGUUGGGUGCAUACUUGGUGAAAUUAUUACUCGCCAACCCCUAUUUCCUGGGAGGGAUUACAUUCAACAACUAAAAUUGAUCACUGAGUUGAUAGGGUCACCAGAUGAUUCGAGCCUGGGAUUUCUUCGGAGUGAUAAUGCACGAAGAUAUAUGAAACAACUACCACAGUACCCAAGGCAGGACUUCCGCUUGCGCUUCCGCAACAUGUCUGAUGGUGCAGUUGAUCUGUUAGAGAGAAUGCUGGUGUUUGAUCCAAGCAGACGGAUCACUGUUGAUGAGGCUCUGCAUCAUCCAUACUUGGCUUCUCUUCAUGACAUCAAUGAAGAACCCACAUGCCCGGCACCCUUCAGCUUUGAUUUUGAGCAACCUUCAUUUACAGAGGAACAUAUGAAAGAACUCAUCUGGAGGGAAACUUUAGCAUUUAACCCUGAUCCUCCCUACUAAGAGAUAAGGAUUCCACGCCCAAUGAUGGGAGCCAAACAAGCUGUUAGUGUUUUGUAAAAUUAUAUUCGCAAGAACAAUUUACCAGCUGAAGGCAUCGAAAAUCUGUAGCUCCAGCGAAGCCAAAACUUCCAUGCCUGUGCAACUAUUUAUUUUGUGCCCAUAUAUUCGGCAAAUGGUCAAGGAUUAUGUCUUGCAGUAACAAUCUUUCCUAAGGCCUCUCUAGAGAAACAGCUUCCGUACCAUUUUCGGAUGGCCUGCACCUGGGCUUUGUAUCAUACCGGUUGAUUGAAUAAACUCUUCUUGUGUAUCUAGGCUUGUAAUUUUGUGGACAUUUACUUAAACAUCCCAUGUAUAUCUGAGUUUGACAUCUCAAGUUGUAUUAUCUGGAACAUGUCAUUUUGCAUCCUGUGACUCUUUUUGAGGAUGCAUCCUGUGACUCUCCAUAUCGAAGUUUGUUGAUUUGCUUUGGAAUUCCA